UGAGGACAGAGAAGCUAGGAGGCAAGGUGUGUUAGCUUGGGAAGUGGGACUAAAAAGUCAAAGUCUGGAGUGUCAAGAAUCCCGUACCCGACUGAGCUGGGGUUGGGGUUGAGGGGUAGAGCGGCUGCACAGUGUGGAAUCGCGUGGUGGAGACCUGAGUAUGGAGGAAACGGCGGGGCUCGCAGAACCGGAAAACUUACCUAUACCGCAGGACUCACUGAACACCCAGACCUGCUCACCUGUGAAACAUAACAAAGAGCCCUAGAAGGUGGAGAGGGAGGAGACAGUACCUAAGGAUCCAGAAAUAAUUCUGGAGACUUCCACGGACAAAAAACUCCUCAAGAUUAUCCUAUUGUAGAGAUGAGAAGACUUUCUACAGAAAAUUG
rnacentral:lncRNA from 1 species